GCACAAGCGGUGGAUUAUGUGGAUUAAUUCGAUGCAACGCGAAAACCUUACCUACCCUUGACAUGCUAGGAACUUGCCAGAGAUGGCUUGGUGCCCGAAAGGGAACCUAGACACAGGUGCUGCAUGGCUGUCGUCAGCUCGUGUCGUGAGAUGUUGGGUUAAGUCCCGCAACGAGCGCAACCCUUGUCAUUAAUUGCCAUCAUUCAGUUGGGCACUUUAAUGAGACUGCCGGUGACAAACCGGAGGAAGGUGGGGAUGACGUCAAGUCCUCAUGGCCCUUAUGGGUAGGGCUUCACACGUAAUACAAUGGUCGGUACAGAGGGUUGCCAACCCGCGAGGGGGAGCCAAUCCCAGAAAACCGAUCGUAGUCCGGAUUGCAGUCUGCAACUCGACUGCGUGAAGUCGGAAUCGCUAGUAAUCGUGGAUCAGCAUGUCACGGUGAAUACGUUCCCGGGCCUU
rnacentral:rRNA from 1 species